UACAGGGGGGGCAAGCGUUGUUCGGAAUUACUGGGCGUAAAGGGCCAGUAGGCGGCCGGCUAAGUCCGACGUGAAAUCCCCAAGCUUAACUUGGGAACUGCGUCGGAUACUGGCUGGCUUGAAUUCGGGAGAGGGAUGCAGAAUUCCAGGUGUAGCGGUGAAAUGCGUAGAUAUCUGGAGGAAUACCGGUGGCGAAGGCGGCAUCCUGGACCGACAUUGACGCUGAACGGCGAAAGCUAGGGGAGCAAACGGG
rnacentral:misc_RNA from 1 species